AUGAAACAGUCGCCCCCUCCCCCUACUGGCCAGCCCCUCCCCCGGGCUCGUGCAGCCGUUAGGACCCUUCCUUCCCUCUCUCGGCCACCGCCUGCCACUGCGUGUGCCCGUCUCCGGUCGGGCCCUGGAAGCCUCAGGGGAGCCUGGGGGAUGCCAGGGCCCGCACUGCGCCUCCUCCUUCUGGUCCUGAAUUUGGCCGCGGCAGCGCCGACUUCGAAACUUCAUCGGGAGGAGCCCAAGCCUGAGUCAGUGGCCGCAUCAGGUCAGCUAAAAAAGGAUCAAAUCAAAUCAGUGAUGACCAAGAAAACUUCUUCUGGACAGCUUCUGCUUGAGUCCUCCGAACAGACAAGCUUUCAGAAAGAUCAUCUAACCUAUAAAUGCCUUUGGAAGAAAGAAGAGUUUGUGGUUCUUAAAAAUGGAAGGGAACUCGAAUUUGAAAUGAGGACAAGUACCUACAAGAACAAAAAACUCCUUUUUCAAAAUAUCAUCUUAAAAAUGCCUCUUUCUCAAGGAAAACAAGCAAACAAUGGAGUCAGAAAAGCAGUCCUGGCUCAAAGAUGUUUGGGAAGUAAAAAAGUAAGCUCAGCUUUAACAAAAACAAGGGUGUUAGCUUUGGCAAGAAAAGGAAAAAGUAUAAAGAAACAAAACAAUCCAAAAACUGAACUACAAAAGCAAUUGGAAAAUGCUCAAAAUCAGAAAAUAGGGGUGUCAACAGAAAUCCCCCUCCAGUUUGCCACAGCAGACUUUGACUUGUUGGCCAGAAGAUGGUGGUGGCCAAAAGGAGCAUUUUUAAAAGCAUCCCCAAAUCUUUUCACAUCAAGAAACAAUCAGGAGAACCAAGGAAAUAGAGAGAAUAAUCCCAAGCCACUAAAGACAUAUGCCCUCCACCCUUUAGAAGCAACAAAAGCGGUACAACAGAGUAUCAGAACGUGGAAACUGUAUAAGCUGAAUGUUGUCUCUAAAGAGCCUUGUAAAUCAGUGAAUUCAAAAAGAGCCCUAGGAGUAGAUGAAGAAGAGCCAAAGAAAGAUGAGAUUAUGCUGACAAUCCUUUGUAGAAAGCUAUUGUCUUUAAACAUUUCAGCAAAUGGUAGCAGUACUUGGAAGGUACAAUCAAGAAAAAUAUUUUUUGGACAUUAUGCAAAAAUAGGUAGAAAGGGUCUUCUGAUCUUGCUAACUUCCAUGAAAACAAGAUCAAUGGUAAUCCGAAAGACCCAAAGAGUUGGAAACAGAGUCAUUUUGUCUGUCACAAAAUGUGUUCACAUUAGUAAUGGCAGGUCUAGAGAACCUUGCAGGAAACAGAAUAGCACAGAUUUAGGAGAUAUCAGUCAAAUUCUUUCAAGAAAUGGAGGUCAAGAAGCUAAGUCAUCAACUUCAGAAAUUAUUCAAGAAAAACUAAAAUUCUUAUCGGCUUUUAAAGCAACAUCAAAAGACAAAGAAUGCAGGAUAAAAAUUUGGUCUGUCUAUGUAAGGCUACCUUUAAAACUUCAUGAACAAAAUGCAAAUACAUUUCAAAGAAAAACUGACAGGCUGGUGUACCAAGAUGGAAGUCAGGGAGACCCAAGAAUUCUUAAUAGAAAACCAGACGUGGUCCCAAGAGCCCCUUACUUGGAUAAUGAGGGGAAGACAUCUCAAUGGAUAAGGUUGGAAGAAAGUAGAGGAAAAAAUUCAUGGAACAGGGCACAACUUCCCUUCAUCGGCUUGCUCUGUAGUCAGCUUUACACUUUUAUUAUCAGAUCACACUCUAAUAUUAUAGUUAUGUCACAAAGGAAAUUGACUGCAUUUAUCAAGACAUUGAUGGCACAACUGCCUGGGAAAAGCCAACCAGCUUUUGCCAAGCUGACUGGAAUGUUGACAGUUCUUAAAGUUACUCUGUCUCCUAAAUAUUUAAGAUUAAGAAGCUCCUUCAAGAGAGCUAAAUAA
rnacentral:lncRNA from 1 species